ACGAACGCUGGCGGCAGGCCUAACCCAUGCAAGUCGAGCGCACCCUUCGGGGUGAGCGGCGGACGGGUGAGUAACGCGUGGGAACGUGCCCUUCUCUGCGGAAUAGCCUCGGGAAACUGAGAGUAAUACCGCAUACGCCCUUUGGGGGAAAGAUUUAUCGGAGAAGGAUCGGCCCGCGUUGGAUUAGGUAGUUGGUGGGGUAAUGGCCCUCCAAGCCGACGAUCCAUAGCUGGUUUGAGAGGAUGAUCAGCCACACUGGGACUGAGACACGGCCCAGACUCCUACGGGAGGCAGCAGUGGGGAAUCUUAGACAAUGGGGGCAACCCUGAUCUAGCCAUGCCGCGUGAGUGAUGAAGGCCUUAGGGUUGUAAAGCUCUUUCAGCUGGGAAGAUAAUGACGGUACCAGCAGAAGAAGCCCCGGCUAACUCCGUG
rnacentral:rRNA from 1 species